GACGAACGCUGGCGGCGUGCUUAACACAUGCAAGUCGAACGGACAGACCUGCUUUCCCUUUUUGAUUUCUUGUCCUCGAGUGGCUAACGGGUGAGUAACUCGCCAGUGAUCUGCCCCCAACUUGGGUAUAAGCCUCGUAAACUGUGUCUAAUUCCCGAUAGGACUGCAGGGUUGUACCUGUUGUGGCAAACUAUUUUCUACUGGUUGGUGAUGCGCUCGCGGCCUAUCAGCUUGUUGGUGGGGUAAUGGCCUACCAAGGCGGAGACGGGUAGCCGUCAGGAGAGGGGGGACGGUCACAUUGGGACAGGGAUAAGGCCCAGACUGAAACGGGAAGUAGGAGUGGGGAAGAUUGCGCAAUGGGCGGAAGCAUGAAGCAGCGAGGCAGCGUGGGGGAUGAUGGCAUCCGGGUAGUAAACUACUAGCGAACGCGAGAUAGCCAACUGGUUGGAAGGGUGGUGACGGUAGUGGUAGAAGAAGCAACGGCUAACUACGUG
rnacentral:rRNA from 1 species